CUUAACCCCUGGGCCAUCCCUCCAACCCCCCUCAGGAUCCAUCUCUGCUCCAGUGAAAGAAUGUCUCACCCAAACCUAUUCAAGUGAUUUACUGGGAGGGAAGAAUCCAGGAGCGUGGCUACCUCUGCCUUCGUGAAGAAGACAGCAGCAAAUGGAAGAGGCACAGGGUUUAUAUAGGGCUUCUUAGGGGCAGGGUUUUUCCAGAGAGAAGAUUUCCAGGGUGGGAAUUGGUCAUAUUUCAAUCCCUUGAACUCAGAUUGGCUAGAUCUUCUUAGGGAUUGGUUGGUUUUCUGCUCAGGGAUUCGUUGGUUUUCUAUUUAGUUGGUUUGGUCAGAUUUGGCUCUGGUUUCAGGGCCCAGGUUUGUUUCUUUCACUGACCUUUUUAGCCUUUUGUGUCUAAUUUCAGGGCCAGGGCAUAUUACUUUGACUGGCUCUGAAUCUGGGACCAAAGUGUUUCUUUGGUUCUAGUUUCAGGGUCAGGGUGUAUUUCUUUGGCCGUGGUUGCAGGGCCAAAGUAUGUUUCUUUGGAUGGCCCGUCCCCCAUACAGUUAUGGAAUAUAAUAACUUUUCUUUAAGAAGCAAAAGUAAUAGCAGAUGAUGUUCUAUUAUUGAAUUUUAAGAAUAUAUAGCCGGGUGGUGGUGGCGCACACCUUUAAUCCCAGCACUCGGGAGGCAGAGGCAGGCGGAUGUCUGUGAGUUCCAGGCCAGGCUGGACCGACAGCCUCCAAAACAAUACAGAGAAACCCUGUCUCGUAAAGAAUAUAUUAAGGCACUGAAGGGUGGGUAGUGGAGCACGCCAUUAAUCCCAGUACCCAUUCUAGGCAGAGGCAGCCUGAUCUCUGUGAGUUAGAGGUCACCCUGGUCUACAGACUGAGCUCCAGGACAACCAAGGCUGUUAUAGAGAGAAAGCCUGUCUUGAAAACCAAAAACAAAACAAAAAAGGGAUACAUUAAGAUGUAUACAAAUAGCUUACCAAGAGCUAGGCACUACUCUACAAACAAUGUGCUGAAGUUAAAAGCAGUUGCUGCUCUUCUAGAAGUUAUGAGUUUUGUUCCUAGAACCCAUUUCAAGCAGCUCACAACCAUCUGUAACUCCAGGUCCAAAAGAGUUGACAUUUUUGGCUUCUGAAGAUACCCCCACAUACAUGGCAUAUGGACAUGGACACACACACACACACACACACAGAGAGAGAGAGAGAGAGAGAGAGAGAGAGGUAUAUUAUAAUUUCAAACAAACUGUUAUGAAUAUACCUGUACCAAAGAUGGGGAAACAGUUGCUCAAGAUCAUAACAGCUUAUUUGAUCAUUGGUCAUAAAGAAACCAAAAUGGGACAGAGACAAUUUCCCAACAAUAGUAAUACUUGGAAGACUUGCAACUACUGUUCAAUCCGAAUGGAGAACCAACAAUGCAUUGUAUUGUUUGAAUCAGCAACAAUUUAAAUGAUUCCUUGUAAGAAAAGGAGUGAUAUGAUUAUGGUCCAUAGGGAAAGAUGUAAAAUGGUUUUGUAGGUUCAGAGUAAAGAAGGUCUUGACAGUGUUUAAUGACAUUGGAUUGGCUAGCCAUUCCUAAACACUGGACCCAAGAGCCAAUGGCAUCCCUUGGAGUUUCCAUGAUUUGUAGCAAAGUGAGAAAAAAAUAAAGAUGUAAUGAUCACAUUUGCAGUGCACAUACAACUAAAACUGAAGUGAUAAAAGGCUAACAUGACCUGGGUGCAAGGAGAAGGGGCAAAUCCAUGAGGCAUUAUAUACUUUGUAAGUUCAUAAAUGUUGUCAAACAAAGAAAAAUCUUUUAAAAGAUGUAAUAAGUUUUUGUAAACAAAAUAGAACUAGUUUAAAAAAGAGUAUCUUUUAAUCUUUAUGUGCUUUAAAAAAUUAAACAUAGCUUUUCUUUAAGGAUGAAGAAUAAUAAUAGAUGGUCUAUGGGUUUGCUUGUUUGUUUGAAUUUGGUUUGUAUUUGUUUGUUGUUAUUGCUGUAACUCAGUACUAAGGCUGAGGCCUCAUAUAUGCUAAGUAUGUGUCUUGCCACUAAGCUAUAACUCCAGCUCCUGGAAUCUUUUUUUUUAAUUUUCUUAGUCAGCAAUUAAAGACUACAGAGUUGGUAACUCUAUAAAAACAUAUAGACUAAGUUGGCCAUUCUUUUUAACUUUUCUGGACUUAGGGAUUCAGUCAACUGAAAACAUUUCAUUGAGAUGAGACUCAACCUACAGUGAAGAAAUUAUAGUGCUAGAAGAAUUAGAAUGAGGCAUUGUUGGGAGUGAUCAUGGGGAAACUAGAUUGGAGUAUAGACUUCAAUAUAGUGAAGCAAAUAGAACAUUUCUCUUAUUUGGUUAUUUGGUGGAAAAUACGCUUGGUUGCAUGUUUAUGCAAUUUCUUUCAUAAACAUGGAGGGGGGCACAGUGUUUUGAGAGGUAGCCUCCAAAGAUGGCUUCCAGUGAACUAUGUCUCCUGAUCCACUCUGGAGUUCCCACCUACACUAAAGCUAGGCAGAGACUUUUACCAGUAGGAUGUAACACAGGCACUAUGCCAGAUGUGAAAUUCCCAAGUAAUCAAUAAAGAAUUGUGAGGUAGGUUGUGUGUGUGUGUGUGUGUGUGUGUGUGUGUGUUAUAGCUAUGUUCCUAUUGACACCUUAGACAGUAUUUCCAAGAAAGUAUGAUAUUUAUUGUGGCUAAUGUAGCUUUCCAGAGGGCAUCAUAUUUCUAAAAAUGUACAACAACUUCAUCAGAUUCUGAACAUUAGUAAACAGAAAGUUAUGAGAAUUUAGAUUCCAUUCUGUUUCAAGAGGUUGGUUUCUAUAUAGUUAGUAUUUUCCCCAAAGUAGUUUAUUUUUGCAUGUUUUUCUAGGUCUAAGAAGUAAAUCAGGAAGAGUAUGUUCUUUUUCUUAAGAGUAUUUCUUUUGAGAUCAGCCAAGAGGGUUUUUUGGGGGGGUUCUUUAUUUAUUUUGUUUUUAUUUUUGUUUUUUUUUUCUUUCCACAGAACAUUUUAGAUCUACUGCAGCCUUGCUUCUGCAGGGGCAGAGUUUGGGAUGCGGGAAUCUGUCAGGAUUAUAGCAAGAAAAGUGUAUGGUAAACCCAGGGUGUUGAUUCCAGCAAGACAAAUUCUCGAAAUUUCCUCCAUUGGAGUUACUUCCAUCUUGGCUGCAGCUCAUUUGAAUUCAGUUCAUCAACUUCCUGUUUUUUCCUUAGCAGUGGUUCUCAGAACCAGGUAAGAAUAGUUUAACACUUUCCAGGAACACUGUUUUGCCAAGUUGUGCCCUUUUAUUCUCUCUCCAGCACUGGGUUUGUCAUUAUACUUGGGUUCAUUUGUAUUAACUUGGUAUCUUUGAUUGUGGUUGUUCAAUUUUCUAUAUUUAUUGAUUUUGUUAAAAUUUUUUUGAUUUAUCUUACAUGUAUUAGUAUUUUACCUGCAUGUGUGCCUAGUGUCCAGGGAAGUCAGAGAGCGCAAUGAAUCCAUUAGGACUGGAGUUAUAGAUGACUGUGAGCCACCAUGUUGGUGCUGAGAAUUGAAUCCAGGUCCUUUGCAAGAGGAACUAGUGCUCUCAGCCAUAGAGCCAUCUCUCCAGCCCAUGAUUUUUAUGUUUCUAUGAAUUCAUUUAUGUUUCACACUUAUUCACCUAUUGGUUUUACAUUUUUCCAGCCCCCUGCUUUAGCAGCCAUCACAGGCUAACAUGUGCUUGCCUGACCUUGCCCCUCCUGUUCUACUCGACAGGAGGUCAGAUAACCUCCUCUGGCAAGGAACCAAUCAGAAGUUAGCUGGCGGGGCUGUGUUUUAUGGCUCUGGGUGUGCUUUAUGUAUACAUGUACAACAGUGAUGUGCAGAACAUAACAACUGACGUGGGAAGGCCUAUAGGCCAUAACAACCAGUUGACCAAUCAAUACAGAACAGGUGGUCCAAGCCCUGAAGCACACCAAUCCUGAGACUGUUGUGUACCCCUAGACACUCUGCUUAUGCUACCCAAUAUAUUCCCUGCCUUGUGUUUCCCCUGGUCCUUCUCCAGCAUCUGCUGCGGUGAAUGGAGUUAAUGGGGUUAGCUCAUUAAACAACACCAAAGGACUGUUUGCUUUUGUAUCGAAAUGGGUCUCUUGGUGAUUUUGAGGUUUCAGAAUUUGGGCACAACACAUAUA